rnacentral:rRNA from 1 species
GAUUGUUGAUCCUGGCUCAGAAUGAACGUUGGCGGCGUGCUAACACAUGCAAGUCGAGCGAGAAAGUCAUUCGGGAUGAGUACAGCGGCGAACGGGUGAGUAAUAUAUAAGAAUCUGCCUUUUAGUGAAGAAUACCUUUGGGAAACCAAAGUUAAUGCUGCAUAAGUCCCUUCGGGGAGAAAGAUGGCCUCUUUGCUGUCGCUAAAAGAUGAGCUUAUAUUCUAUUAGUUAGUUGGUGGGGUAAAGGCCUACCAAGACUAUGAUGGAUAACCGGCCUGAGAGGGUGUACGGUCACAUUGGAACUUAGAUACGGUCCAGACUCCUACGGGAGGCAGCAGUGAGGAAUAUUGCACAAUGGGCGAAAGCCUGAUGCAGCGACGCCGCGUGGAGGAUGAAGGUUUUCGGAUUGUAAACUCCUGUUAAGUGGGAAAAAAGACCUGCCAUGAAUAAGGGCGGGUGAUGAUGGUACCGCUAAAGAAAGCACCGGCUAACUUCGUGCCAGCAGCCGCGGUAAUACGAGGGGUGCAAACGUUAUUCGGAAUUAUUGGGCGUAAAGGGUGCGUAGACGGCGCUUCAAGUCAAUUAUUAAAUCUUUUGGCCUAACCAAAAGCUUGUGGUUGAGACUGUUGUGCUAGAGGAUGGAAGAGAGAAGUGGAAUUCUCGGAGUAGCGGUAAAAUGCGUAGAUCUCGAGAGGAACACCGAUGGCGAAGGCAGCUUCUUGGUCCAUUUCUGACGUUGAAGUACGAAAGCGUGGGGAGCAAACAGGAUUAGAUACCCUGGUAGUCCACGCUGUAAACGAUGAUCACUAGAUGUCAGGUCCGAUUUUGGAUUUGGUGUCGCAGCUAACGCGUUAGUGAUCCG